rnacentral:tRNA from 1 species
GGGGAUGUAGCUCAGUUGGGAGAGCGCCACGUUCGCAACGUGGAAGUCGGGGGUUCAAAUCCCCCCAUCUCCACCA